AGAGUCAGUGAGCAUCUCAGAGAGUGGAGGACUUUAUCAGGGAGGUGCAAAGCCCCUCGUCACCUGGGACUCAGAUGGAAAGAGACCUUGGGCAGAAGGGCAGGGGGACAGAGCCCCUGCCCCAGUGUCACUCCCCAGCAAGCAAAGAUGGAGGCCUUGCUCUCUGGCCAAGUCCAUGCUCUGGCGGGCACAGUUCUCCAAGAGUGCACUGCAGGAAAACAUCCUCUGGAGCAAAGUCACUGGGACAAACACCCCCGCCUCUCAGCUGAGGACACCACCCGAAGUUUGACCUGCGUCAGCCGUCCAUGUUUGCAGUUCCGCAGACCCAGCCUCUGGAGCCGGGGAGGAAGGGGAAGAGAGAAAGCACAGGGUUCCUCAGCGACUAGUUAGUUCCAGGUAUUUCCCAGGCUCUGUGCCGAGUGCUGGGGACACGGGCGUAACCGGCCCAGCCCUGCCCUCAGGGCUCCAGGAACGGGGGAGAAAAACUCCAUUCGUCAGGCUGUGAGCUCAGAUCAGAAGCAGAGGAGAGGCAAGGAUCCACAGGGGGCAGGAAGAGGAGAGGCACUGUCCUACCGAGGACCCAGGUUCACACAGGAGGUGGCUCUUGAGAUGACCCUCGGAGGGUGGGUAGACUCCGGUAGGUGCUGAGGAAGAGAGACUGCCUCUGAGAGGGGACCUGUGAGAAAAGGCACAGACUUCAGAAGGCUCG
rnacentral:lncRNA from 1 species